rnacentral:lncRNA from 1 species
ACCUGCACGUACUCUCCCGAAUCCACGUACUCGCUCUCCGAUCCCGGUGCUACCCAACAUAAAAAUAGCAUCCAAUGAACAACAACACCACAUGAUGCAACAUACACAUGAUGCAUGAGAUGAGAAUGUAACAUGCAUCUCUAUUCUAGUCACUUGCAUAUGCAUGAGAAGAAAAGACAAACUUCUGGGCAGAACUUCUCCCUAAGCUAUCUUGACAUGCAUGAAGAUGACAUGAACAGAUGCAUCACGCGAAAACGAUGCAAAAACAUAUAAAGAACGUUUCGAACGGAGUUACGGAUCAACCGGAAACUACGAAACAAGAACUGGAGUUCUACGGAUCAAAUCUACCGCAAGCACUCUCCAAUGGCAUACUUCUGGUAUUCCCAGGUUGCCACAUCACCAAACAAACAAGUAUAGAUGGGGUGGUGCAAAGAAACUCACCACACCACCAACUAUGCACGCACAAGCAUCAAAACAACAAAACUAUACAUUCUGUCCUAAACAGCAACAUGGCAGUUUGAGAGCAACAUGCAAAGCACCUACAGCCACCCAAAUGUGCCAAAUAAGAUAUGUGGCAAAAGCUAUUCAAAAGCUCUAGAAGCAUCAACAAAAAGAUAAUACAAAGGAGUUACACACAAAAAGAUCUAGAGCUGUUAACUUGGACAAAAAUAUGAGUUUUCAGGGACUUGGUGAAAUUCUCAGAUUCUCACUAGGUGUUUAUGCUCUGAAGCAUUUUGACAACACCCAAAACAAUAUCUACAGGAAGUCAAAUGGAAUGAAAAUUUAUAGAGAGCUAGACAAGCACAAAGCUACAACUCCCUAGUUGAUUGCAAGGGCUGAUCCCCAACACAUGAACUUUUGCAACCACAACUACAAGGGAAGAAAAUAACAGCAGUUUCUCAGACUUUGUGAAAACCACAUAUUUUCACUAAUCUGAUAUUUUCAGCCACAUGCCUACUUUGGCAAAGCACAACUUGCACAUAUAAACUCCUAAGCAUGAAACUACACCACCAUGCUGUAGAGGGGUUCACCCUCUACUGUCACAUCAAGGAAUCAUCCUCUUAGGCUCAUCACAUCACAUGGAACCAAGCUCUAAACAUUGAACAAAACAGAAAAAAUGACAUUCCCAAAAAGUGUUCCAAAGGGAAAUCUGAUUCCACCAUUGGAUUCCUCGGAUGAUUCUACCCCAAAAACAUAUAUAAUACCUAGGUACUUGCAUAGAACAAAUGGGCAUAAAGCUAAGAUGAAAAUCGACAUGGAAACACAAAGAUGCAAAUAGUGCUAUAUCACAUGUGUUCUCACUAGAUCAUCACCUACACAUGCACUUGCACAUCCCCACAACACCAAUGGUGACAUGAGGGUUUUUACCUCAUGUAUGUGUGCUAUAGCACAUCACCAUACACACACACACACAUACAUCAAGCACCUACACAUGCUAGUUCCACACACACACACACACUUACUUACACUCACAUCAUGCAUACCUACACCUACACAUACAAGCUUGCACCAAGUGCUCCCUAAGGCAAACCAUGCCUUGGCAUGUGGGGGUCACUCACACACAUGCACACACACACACACCACAUGAUCACCUACAACACACAAAGUAUGUUGGGAGGGGGGACCCACACACACACACACUCACACACUUGCACAAACUAGUGCAUAAGCUCAACACUCAUGAACAUGAGUAUCACACACACAUAUACACACACUACCCUAGUGCACCACACACAUACUAACACCCACACAUACAUGGAAGCUCGCCCACACAUACACUAGCACAUCCACAUGCAUAAGAGCAUCUCCAACAGCCGCGCUUCGUGCCGCGCCCAAAAAAUGUCUUUACAGCGCGCGCGCCGGCUGGUUUAGCGCAGGGAUAGGCGCUGGCUCCAACAGCCGCGCUAUAAUACAGCGCGCGCUCGCCGCUCCAGCAGUGCCCAAAAAUGCAGCGCGCGCACAACAUUUUUUAAAAGUAGAUUGCCUUAAAUAAAAAGGAUACAAAGUUAUUUUACAUAGAUUGCAACUAGAUAGGUAGUUCGAAAACAUAGAUAGAUAGUUCGGUGCUAGAUAGUUCGAAAACAAAAAAACUAAUCCUAGUCGCUCCAGUCAUCUGCACCAUCAUCAUCGUCGUUGGUGUCGUCAGAGGUUGACAGCCAAAUGUCAAACCAACGCUCAUCUUCUUCAGUGAAGAAGGACCUCCCGCCUGCAUUGACGAGGUCGGCCUACGCACACGCCAAUGCCUUUCGACGACGCCUGUCCAACCGCUCCUCGCGGCGCCGGCGCGUGUCCUCCUCGCGGCGCCCUGCCCAAUAUUCCUGCUCGUAGGCGACGUCCUCCGGGUGGCGCGGCGGCAUGGUGGCGCGUGGGGGGCGGCGCGCUGGGGCGGCGGCAGAGGGAGAGAGAGCGCGGAGCGGUGGCGCGAGGGAGCGGCAGCGCGCUGCCUUUUAUAGGCGCGCGGGACGCGGCGCCGCAAAAAUGGCGUGCGAGCUGCCGCCUUUUCGCGCGCGCGUGCAAGCGGUUCCCGCGCGCGCGGUUUUUCCGCCGCCGCUGGAGCACGCCAAUCUGUCCCGCGCACAGUAAAAUGCAUGUUUAGCGCGCGCGCGCCUUUUUGCGCCGCUGUUGGAGAUGCUCUAAGCAUCAAGUGCUACUAACUAAAACAUAGAUGAAACCUACUGGUUUAGGUCCUUAGGCAAAAUUUAGAUAUGCCCAAGCAAGCUACAACAACCAAGCUAACAAGCAAUAAGAAUCAGAAAAAAAGGAAAUGACAAAAAACAUAAAAGGGCUUGGGGGAUUCGAACCCCAAACCUGCUAGACACCACACAGAACCACCACCAUUGCGCUACUGCUCAAACACUCGACAAAACAGAAAAAACAUACAGGGUAAGCUCUGUUCCUGCUGCUACUGUGCCGAAAAUAAAACACAAAAAGGGUGCGCGCUGCGGGACUCGAACCCACAACCACCAGCUGCGCCAAAACCCACCUACCACUCUGCUAUGCGUUUGGAUGUUAACAGAGAGGAGGGCUUUGCUCUUUUGAGCAACCCCUCUGUAUCUAACACACCCGACGGUGGCCGGAACAGGGGAGGCUCUCCGUCGGUGAUCUACUUCAAAUCGAGCACGGGCUCGUCGCUGGGAGGAAGAGGGAACACACACGUUUCCAUUCCACUACCUAACUCGCCACGGGAAGGCCUACGGCUACGGCUCCACAACACGCGGCGGCGCCGGCGACAGAGAGAUGCACGGCGGCGAUGACACGACCCUAUACGCGAGAUCUACCGACAGGGAAGGGGGAGGAAGGUUCGUGCUCACCCACUGGACGAGGAAGCUGAGCCUGCCGGAGAGGAAGUCGGGGAAGUAGUGGAAGAAGCCGUGGCGGAGGAGAUCGUCGGAGAGGAAGAAGCCCGUCGUCGAAGUAGGGGAAGCAGUGGCGUUCGGCGUCGAUUGGUUGCGAGAACGGAACCUCCUGUCGUCCCGCGUGCUCGCUGAAGACUUGGAGAGGAAGCAGGGGCACGACAACGACGACGAGGAUCUCCUCAAGGUACGGCCAUGGCGGAGGAGGGGCUUGCUUACCUGUUGUCGACGAGGGAGAGGGAGGAGGAAGAUGGGGAAAGAAGUGGCGGCGGCUAGGGAGGAACCCUAGGCCACUGCACGGACGACCAGGUUAAAUAGUGGGGCGAGCGAGCCACCUCGACGUCCGUGAGAACGGCGUCGCUCUCUGUCUCGCCUCUCUCUCUGACGAAACUGACGGAAGGAGGGAGGAGGAAGACACCGUCUACAGAAGCACGCUGCUGCACGAGGAGGUAAGUUGGGCCGGCCAAGGAGAGGAAGCCCACUUGGAUGCGCCAGAAAAGAAAAAGGAAAACCCACUCGGGUUUUCUAUUUUAAAACAAACAAACACAAAAAAUAAAAUACAGUCAACACUGUUGAAGCUAAAAUAAAACACAAGUGCCCCUGGUCUUAAGGGAAUUAUGACCUAUUUAAAUAAAAUGAAAAAGGAAUUUUUGGAGCAUUUAAAUAUUUACAAAACAGAAUUUAAAUAUCUGUUUUGUGAAUAUUUACCCCACUUGAACAAAGAUUCAAAACACUUUGAACCUAGCACCACAUUCACCACAAAUCACUUUAGAAUAUGAACAUUUUUGAAUCAGGGAUGGAGCAAGUGAAACUUGAGCUUUGAGAAAAUGGAGAGGGGGGUUUUGACACCUAUUUUGAAACCUAGCAUAGUUGCACCCUGCUUUCAAAUGCACCACUCCACAUCACUUCACAUAUCAUCACAUAUCAUCACAUACAUGGAUUCACAAUAACAACAAACACAAGAGGCAUGGAAUGAUAUGGAUGCAUGCAUGCAAGGUAAACAAGACAUGCACAUGAAAUACCACAUGAAAUAUAACUCUCAUUCAAUGACAUGAUGGACCCACAUACAAGAAGGUUCCAAAUAUGGCAAGUUACACUCUGGGGCAUUACACACACCAUCUCGGGAAGGAUGAUUUCCUCUUCCCCUUUAGAAUCAACCAUCUCAAUCUUCCUAAGCUGGGCAGAGCAGUACUCCAUAUGAGAGCCAAUGUCCAUAUCCUCUUGGUUCAUAACCUCUAGAUCAUCAUUAGAAAUUUCCAUUUGAGCAACAGGGGUUUUAGCUUCAGCUUCUACAAUAAACUGUUCAUGUAUCACAUCCUUCAUCAUCUCAGGAUGAAAAUUGGCUGCAGAGAUACAAGCCAUUUCCACCUUGCUUCCAGAGCCAACACUCUUGCCUUUGGAGAAAUUUGCCUUAUCCAGUUCAUCAAUAGGUUCAUCAGCAUCCCCAUCCAUAUACUCUCUAUUUUGAUCAAACUCUUCCUCCCCCUUGUCAUCAUCUUCAACAUCCAGAUCAGGGUCAUCUCCAUCUCCCUCAGAUCCUUCUCCCUCUUGAUCAAACCCUUCCACGGUAAAGAACAGGAUGUACAACUUCUUUUUCAUCUCCACCAAUCUCUCAUAGGGAAUUUUGGUAGGGUCUCUACAAGCUACCUUGAUUCUGACCUUUUCAUAGAAACUCUUGAAAAUCCCAUUCCGGUCCACAUCAACCAAAAUGCCAAAACAUGAGGCAAUUUGAGCAAACACCUUCCAAGCACACCAUUUUGGUGGAAUACCUUCCACUUGGAUCCAGACUUCAGUCAACUCUCCGUAAGGUUCCAACAUCCUAGCCCAUUCACAAAUCUUAACAGAAACUCCAUCAAUAGGGAUGUCAAAGGCAGGGAAUUCAAUGAGAUCCUCCACUUUCUUCCAUGGUGGGAAUCUCAGCAGGANNNNNNNNNNNNNNNNNNNNNNNNNNNNNNNNNNNNNNNNNNNNNNNNNNNNNNNNNNNNNNNNNNNNNNNNNNNNNNNNNNNNNNNNNNNNNNNNNNNNNNNNNNNNNNNNNNNNNNNNNNNNNNNNNNNNNNNNNNNNUCAGGAACUUCUUCUCUUCCAACUCACUGAUUUGCCAAGGCCACUCUUUUCCUUUGCAGAAUAUCACAUUCAGUUGCACUAUCAGAUUAGAAGCAGAAACCUCUCCUUUGAGCACCUUCAGGACUGCACAGUUCUUGUAAUUCAACCAAUUGGAUUCAGUUGCAACACGGAUAUCAAUAUGGUAAAAUCCCAGGCCAACUGCUCCACUACCAAAAUACUCAGCAGUGGGUUGAAGACGUGCCGAAGCAAUACAAUUAUUAACAUUGUGUGUACCAGAGCAGAUAAAACACCUCUUUGGUUACACACAAUUACCCACAUAGUGCCCACGCCAGCUACAGUUGAAGCAUAUCAUAUCCUUAUACCUUGGGUCUAGGGUUUGCACAGCAAAAACUGGGAUUGGAGGUGGAGCAGGGCCUGCAGUUUGAACAUUGGCAACUGGAGCACCUUUAGCAACGUUACGUGAUUGUUUCGGAGCUGCCAUUGUCCCCUUUGCUGCAGGAGCCACAGGAGGUGGUGGAGGAGCUCCCUGUAUCCCUUUCUCAGGGGGGGGGGUUCUUCUUAGGUCUCUGCUAUCCCCGAGGAUCCAUGAUCCCCUUCAUCACAGAUGCAAACGAAACCCCUCUAGUUCCACCUUCCUUACUGAUCCGAAAUCUUGUGGGAGUGGGAUCAAAUCGGCCAGGACGAGCUACAGGAUGGUAGUCUUCUAGAGAGAAGCAUCCAGAUCUGAGCAGGUCUCUCUUGAUCCAGAACAGGUGGCUACCAAUGGCCGAUCUAGGUUUUUUGGGGGGGGGGCGACGAUAUUUGUGGUUGGACUGGCGGCAGCUGGGGGGAGGGAAUGACCCACAGCUGCCCAUAAAACUGCUCCACCUCUUCUUCGUUGCUGUUAACUUAGCCGGAAGGCGUCUUCCCUUUUACCGUCUUCCCCUCCACCACUGAUCUAGAGAUCAAAGGUACAACAGUAUCUUGGGCCCCCAAAGGAGGCCAAAUUUUGUCUAUAUCCUCACUAUUCUCCUCUACAAAAACAGUACCGCUAGCUAGCUGUGGCCUCACCAACGAUUGAGCCAUGGGCACACACCCACCAUCUAUCGGAGAUCGAGCAUGAGAAUCAACACAAGCUCCCGAAGCUGGAUCACCUCUUCUAUCCUCAACACAGUUGAUCCUAAGAUCGGAAACCUUGCUAGACUCUCCUGCAUAAACAGGGACGACUGCCGAUUGUGGGCUCACCAGAGAUGGGGCAUUGGACACAAAUCCAUCAGCCCCCAGAGGAAGAACACGAGAAACCUCCCCAAUCUCUGGGGCUAAAACCUUCUCCCUAAUCCCUCUAACAGAAACCUGAGGAACAAUCCCCGAAUUCCUAACCCCAAAUCCAUCAAUCCCAUCUUCUGCACAAGCAGGAAAAGUAUACUUCAGAGAAAAUUUGCGUACCUUAUUCGAUUCCAGAGGAAUCUCACCUCGAAUCCCCAUCCAUGGAGGAGGCUCUCCAAUCUGAGCCCCCACAGGACGCCCGCGACGUGCUCCACGGCCACGGGCACAGGCAUCAUCCAUCAGGGAAGACGAGGCGGACUGACGCUUGGAGGCAGGUGCUCCAAUGGGAUGCUGGCCAGC